ACCUGAGAAACCAAACCCACAAAAAUCGCCCCGAGAAGUGCAACUUUUCUCCAAUCAGGUGUUGGAGAGAUGAAAGAGUCGACGAGUUGUAUGAGUAGCAGGCCAAUUAGUGCAAGGUAAAUAUUCCUCCUGAUUUCUGAUCCUGCAGUGUUUUUGGUAAGCUCCUUGAUCUUAUUUAUUUCCUCGGCAGCGUUCACUUUUUCUUUCGGUUUCCCCUGCGUUAGACUCUUGAAAAAUAACCCUUCAUUUCGCUCCUUUUCAAUCUGACCUUCGAAUGCUUCUAACUCGUUUUCGUUUUUCUCCAUCUCCACUAUGUUUACUCCCGCAGAUUCCUCAAAGGCUUGCAUGCGGCUGUUUAUAUUCUCCAAUAUCUGCUAAUCACAAACGAACAAGAAUUGGAUUAUCAACAGAAUUGCAUAGCAAGUCGCGUUUUUAUAUCUUUAAUGCGGUGCAUAGAGGAGGAACUUAAAAACAGACCCUGUCGCUGGCUGCGUCCAGGUCUUUGAGGGCAUCUUCUCCAAUCUUGUCAAACUCGGCGGUUACCUCCUCUCCAAAUUUGGUAAGAUAUUCUGACCUUUCGUCCAAGUAAUCGGCAAGACGGACUUUCUGAGCUUGAAGCAUUGCUAUCCUCACCAGCAGCUCUUGCUUGCGAGUGUCGCCUUCGGGCGGGGAAGCUUCCGACUCGGAGUCUGAAUCAUUGGACUUGCUGCAGCGCAAGAUGGACGUCUUGGCGCUGGACGAUCUUCCUGUGUAUAAA
rnacentral:lncRNA from 1 species